AUGGCCUCAUUGAUACUAUGGGAUGAGGCCACCAUGACUAAGCGACAGGCGGUUGAGGCACUGGACAACAGCAUGCGCGACAUCAUGGGAAGACGGGACCGACCCUUUGGAGGAAAAACUGUUGUGUUUGGCGGGGACUUCAGGCAGGUGCUUCCGGUCGUCAGGAGGGGGUCCCGGGGUCAGAUAAUCGAUGCAACCCUCCGAAGUUCACACCUCUGGAAGGGUAUGCGCCAGCUAAGGCUCAUCACCAACAUGAGGGCUCAUAAUGACACCUGGUUUGCGGACUACUUGCUAAGGGUAGGCAAUGGCACCGAGGAAGUUGACGAUCAAGGAAACAUAUGA
rnacentral:rRNA from 1 species